UGAGAAAAAAAAACCAGGUUUGGUUGAAUUUUCAAUAAACUUUGUAACUUUCAUUUGGCUUAUGUCGAACCACAUCUUUCAGGGCUUAGAAAACUAAGGAGACAUAUGGUCUUUGAAGUGGAAAAUUGUUAGAACCUUGCCAGAUGCACGGUAUCCUGGCAGCUACUUAUGUAAUACAUUUGGGCUUCAGAACCAUCUCCGGGUUCCAUUUUGUGAUGCGUGGAGCAGAUGUGCAUAGAGCAAGCCAUGCUUACUGCCUCUCAUCACUGGGAACUCUGACAUCCACCUGAACAAUUAUGCACUUUCUUCUGAUCUUCAAACCACUCCCCAAAGAUGCACAGUGCUACCAAUGCAGAGUGCAAGCACAGUAGACAGUGAGUGUAUCAACAGAUGGGCCUUACUGAACUUUGAGCAAUCUCUGCCAGGAAACCAGUGGCCAGGACAUGGUCCACAGUUUGAAACCAGGUAAGGAGAAUGUCCGGAACAUAAGUAAGAUUGGAGUCAGGAAAACUAGAUCUGUGAAGAAAUCUCCAUGAAUGAUUGCGAUAGUUUUAGCAUCAGUAAAGAAAUAGGAUUAAGCGGACACAACACAAACUUCAGAGGUAGAAUUCAGGGAUGUGAUGCUGGCUAGAAGAGGAGAGUGAGAAGGAUAAACAGAUGAAUGGGUGGAUAGAUGGUGGAUGGACAAAUGGAUGGAUAGAUGAAGAGAUGUAGAUAGAAAGACAGAGAGACAGACAGGCAUAAUAGAAGGAAUAUUAUUUUCCGGGUUUCUUCUCUAACUAGAUGAUAACAUCUGAAUUCUUAUUAUGUGUUAGACUUUAAGUACUUUGCAUAUUUUAACUCACUACUUCAUAGUGACUCUAUGAAGUAGGACUUAACACUUUACUCUGCUUACACAUAAAGUAUAUAGGAGUUAAGGAUUUGAGAGUGCACUCUUGUAAUAUUAAAGAAAUAUGAUUAUGCAUAAAUGAACAUAAAAAGAGCCAAUCUAAAGAAAGGGUUAAAAUAAAAGUUAACAAUCCAGUGACAUUCCUAAGAUCAGGAGACAGGACAGAGA
rnacentral:sRNA from 1 species